rnacentral:rRNA from 1 species
UAAUACCUGGGGAGCAAGCGUUGUCCGGAUUCAUUGGGCGUAAAGGGCUCGUAGGUGGACUGAACAGUCGAAAUUGAAAUACAAUGGCUUAACCAUUGAAACGGUUUCGAUACUUCCAGUCUUGAGGGAAAUAGAGGUAAGUGGAAUUCCUGGUGUAGCGGUGAAAUGCGUAGAUAUCAGGAGGAACACCAAAGGCGAAGGCAGCUUACUGGAUUUAUACUGACACUGAGGGGCGAAAGCGUGGGUAGCGAACAGGAUUAGAGACCCUGGUAGUCCACGCCGUAAACGAUGAGCACUAGGUGGUGGGGGAUUCGACCCCUUCACUGCUGGAGUUAACGCAUUAAGUGCUCCGCCUGUGGACUACGAUCGCAAGAUUG